GAAUGCAUGUAUUGCACUGGUCUGUGGCAAUUGUGUUGUCUGGAAAGGUGCUCCAACAACACCAUUGGUAACAAUUGCGAUGACAAAAAUUGUGGCUAGUGUAUUGGAGAAAAACAAUCUACCUGGUUCAAUUUUUACUGCCUUCUGCGGUGGAGCUGCUGUUGGUCAAGCAAUAGCAAUGGACACACGAAUUCCUCUAGUUUCGUUCACUGGGAGUUCAAAGGUUGGUCUUGCAGUUCAGCAAACAGUAAGUCAGAGAUUUGGUAAAUGUCUACUAGAAUUAAGUGGAAAUAAUGCCAUUAUAAUAAUGGAUGAUGCGGACAUUAAACUUGCUGUUCGCUCGGUUUUAUUUGCUGCUGUUGGUACGGCUGGUCAGCGCUGUACAACAUGCCGGAGACUGCUUGUGCACGAAUCAAUAUAUGACAAGGUACUUGAACCACUAGUUGAUGUUUACAAGCAAGUUAAGAUAGGGGAUCCUUUAGAAAAAGGAACCUUACUUGGGCCAUUGCAUACUCGUACUUCUAGGGAAAACUUCGAGAAGGGAAUCCACAAUAUCAAGUCCCAGGGUGGAAAGAUCCUUACAGGUGGCUCAGUCGUAGAAUCUGAGGGUAAUUUUGUGCGUCCAACAAUUGUUGAAAUUUCUUCAAAAGCUGAAAUUGUGAAGGAAGAAUUGUUUGCUCCAGUUCUUUAUGUAAUGAAGUUUAAGACUUUUGAAGAAGCAGUUGAAAUCAACAACUCUGUCCCUCAAGGUUUAAGUAGUUCCAUCUUCACCCGAAACCCAGAAAAUAUAUUUAAGUGGAUUGGACCUCAAGGAAGUGAUUGUGGCAUCGUCAAUGUGAAUAUCCCAACAAAUGGAGCUGAAAUUGGCGGUGCUUUUGGAGGUGAGAAAGGUACUGGUGGUGGCCGUGAGGC
rnacentral:misc_RNA from 1 species